rnacentral:rRNA from 1 species
UACAGAGGGUGCAAGCGUUAAUCGGAAUUACUGGGCGUAAAGGGUGUGUAGGUGGUUAUAUAAGUUAGAUGUGAAAUCCCCGGGCUCAACCUGGGAACUGCGUUUAAAACUGUGUAGCUAGAGUAUUGAAGAGGAUAGUGGAAUUUCCAGUGUAGCGGUGAAAUGCGUAGAUAUUGGAAGGAACACCAGUGGCGAAGGCGACUAUCUGGUCAAAUACUGACACUGAGACACGAAAGCAUGGGGAGCAAACAGG